rnacentral:misc_RNA from 1 species
UGUGCUGGUGCAGUCCAACGAAGAAUAAGCUAGUGUUAAGUGCCAAUGGUCCAAGUCAGGUGGGCCAUCUUGUGAACGAGUUAAGUUUACCUAGAGGCAUUGAUCUACAUCGUUAACGUAGCAUUCUCCAGCGACAAGAUUUCAAGAGCGGCUGACAAUUUGAUCAAAACUUGUUUCCUACUCCAUCCCGAUGUACAGGAUCAAGUGCUUACAGAAGAACUAAUCGCUUUGUCCAAAUUUAUGACGGAU